rnacentral:tRNA from 1 species
GCCGGAGUGGUGGAAUUGGUAGACACCAGAGACUUAAAAUCUCUUGCCCGAUAUGGGCGUACGGGUUCAAGUCCCGUCUUCGGUA